rnacentral:rRNA from 1 species
GGGGAAUCUUGGACAAUGGGCGCAAGCCUGAUCCAGCCAUGCCGCGUGAGUGAUGAAGGCCUUAGGGUUGUAAAGCUCUUUCGACGGGGACGAUAAUGACGGUACCCGUAGAAGAAGCCCCGGCUAACUUCGUGCCAGCAGCCGCGGUAAUACGAAGGGGGCUAGCGUUGUUCGGAAUUACUGGGCGUAAAGCGCACGUAGGCGGACAUUUAAGUUGGAGGUGAAAGCCUUGGGCUCAACCCAAGAAUUGCCUUUGAUACUGGAUGUCUCGAGACCGGGAGAGGUGAGUGGAAUUCCGAGUGUAGAGGUGAAAUUCGUAGAUAUUCGGAAGAACACCAGUGGCGAAGGCGGCUCACUGGCCCGGUUCUGACGCUGAGGUGCGAAAGCGUGGGGAGCAAACAGGAUUAGNUACCCUGGUAGUCCACGCCGUAAACGAUGGAUGCCAGCCGUUGGCAGGCUUGCUUGUCAGUGGCGCAGUUAACGCUUUAAGCAUCCCGCCUGGGGAGUACGGUCGCAAGAUUA